GAUACUUUUAACAGUGAUCACGGGAUUGUGUUUCCCUGUCCUAAGAGGCACGCUUUCCCAACUGGUUGGAGCCGACGAACAAGGUGUUGCUUUGUCCUUCCUCGCUUGUGUGGAGAACUUCGGCAUGUAUGUCUCACCCAUAGCCGUCAACGCAGUUUAUAUGGCUACCGUAGCAUCUUACGCCCCACUUGUGUUCUUUGUGAUAGCUGGGAUCACUUGUGUACCGCCUGUGUUAUUCGGGAUUAUGCACGUCGUCAUUAAACGCUCGAUCGACCCACAGAUCUUGGCAUCCCACAGUGACUGACUGACCGUGAGCACACGUCAUUCAACCACGCUUGAAAGUGAAAUGACGUUCUUUAUAACUUAACCCCCAGUCACACAGCUACAAAUAUCCACGGUUUACCACGAAUCAAUCGAUCACGAUGAACCGCCGAGAUUCGUGGCCGAGAAUCGACUUUCUAAGAAAUGCACUACGGUUUCUAUGACGGAUAACCACGGAGGUACUAAG